rnacentral:rRNA from 1 species
CACAAGCCAGAACACAAGGAUGAGAUCGAAAGACACGUUGCAGAAUUGCUCAGGUCUGGAGUUAUACAGCUCAGUACCAGCCCCUUUUCAUCACCGGUCAUCCUUGUUAAGAAGAAAGAUGGCACAUGGCGACUGUGUGUCGACUACCGGCAGCUCAGCGCCCUCACAUGUAUUGCCAAGUACCCAGUACCUGUGAUCGAGGAACUUCUGGACGAAUUACACGAUGCUUGCUGGUUCUCCAAGCUUGACUUACGUGCCGGCUAUCAUCAUAUCCGGCUUGCGGAAGGGGAAGAGUACAAAACAGUGUUCCAAACUCAUUCAUGGCACUAUGAGUUCAAGGUGGUUUCGUUCGGUCUCGCGGGGGGUCCAGCCACUUUCAACGGUGCAAUAACAACCACAUUGUAG